rnacentral:rRNA from 1 species
AGUGAACGCUGGCGGUAGGCCUAACACAUGCAAGUCGAACGGCAGCACAGGAGAGCUUGCUCUCUGGGUGGCGAGUGGCGGACGGGUGAGGAAUACAUCGGAAUCUACUUUUUCGUGGGGGAUAACGUAGGGAAACUUACGCUAAUACCGCAUACGACCUACGGGUGAAAGCAGGGGAUCUUCGGACCUUGCGCGAUUGAAUGAGUCGAUGUCGGCUUAGCUAGUUGGCGGGGUAAAGGCCCACCAAGGCGACGAUCCGUAGCUGGUCUGAGAGGAUGAUCAGCCACACUGGAACUGAGACACGGUCCAGACUCCUACGGGAGGCAGCAGUGGGGAAUAUUGGACAAUGGGCGCAAGCCUGAUCCAGCCAUACCGCGUGGGUGAAGAAGGCCUUCGGGUUGUAAAGCCCUUUUGUUGGGAAAGAAAUCCAGCUGGUUAAUACCCGGUUGGGAUGACGGUACCCAAAGAAUAAGCACCGGCUAACUUCGUGCCAGCCGCCGCAGUAA